UACAGAGGGUGCGAGCGUUGUCCGGAAUCACUGGGCGUAAAGGGCGCGUAGGUGGCGGCCCAAGUCCGUGGUGAAAGCUCGCCGCUUAACGGCGAGUCGGCCACGGAGACUGGGUGGCUCGAGCACUGUAGGGGUAGAUGGAAUUCCGGGUGUAGCGGUGGAAUGCGUAGAGAUCCGGAAGAACACCAGUGGCGAAGGCGGUCUGCUGGGCAGUUGCUGACACUGAUGCGCGACAGCGUGGGGAGCAAACAGG
rnacentral:rRNA from 1 species